AUUGAACGCUGGCGGCAUGCUUUACACAUGCAAGUCGAGCGGCCGCACGGGCUUCUUCCUGGCGUCGCGUGGCCGGCGGGCGGGUGAGUCAUCCGAGGAUGCCCUGUCGUUGGGGCUGGGAUGGCGAAAGGAAGAUGGAGAUCAUAUAGGAUAUGAGGUUGAACGGGGGGGACCGAAAGGCAACGCGGUAUUUGCGCGGCCGAUGACGGAUUAGCUAGUUGGUUUGGUAAAGGCUUACCAAGGCGACGAUCCGUAGCUGGUCUGAGAGGACGACCCGCCACACUGGGACUGAGACACGGCCCAGACUCCUACGGGAGGCAGCAGUAGGGAAUCUUGCGCAAUGGGGGAAAGCCUGACGCAGCAACGCCGCGUGAGGGAAGAAGGUCUUCGGGUUGUAAAACGCUGUUAUUCGGGAAGAACAAAUGUGUAAGAAUCCACCGACGUGAUGACGGUACCGGAUCAAAAAGCAACGGCUAACUACGUG
rnacentral:rRNA from 1 species